rnacentral:rRNA from 1 species
GAUGAACGCCGGCGGUGUGCCUAAUACAUGCAAGUCGUACGCACUGGCCCAACUGAUUGAUGGUGCUUGCACCUGAUUGACGAUGGAUCACCAGUGAGUGGCGGACGGGUGAGUAACACGUAGGUAACCUGCCCCGGAGCGGGGGAUAACAUUUGGAAACAGAUGCUAAUACCGCAUAACAACAAAAGCCACAUGGCUUUUGUUUGAAAGAUGGCUUUGGCUAUCACUCUGGGAUGGACCUGCGGUGCAUUAGCUAGUUGGUAAGGUAACGGCUUACCAAGGCGAUGAUGCAUAGCCGAGUUGAGAGACUGAUCGGCCACAAUGGAACUGAGACACGGUCCAUACUCCUACGGGAGGCAGCAGUAGGGAAUCUUCCACAAUGGGCGCAAGCCUGAUGGAGCAACACCGCGUGAGUGAAGAAGGGUUUCGGCUCGUAAAGCUCUGUUGUUGGAGAAGAACGUGCGUGAGAGUAACUGUUCACGCAGUGACGGUAUCCAACCAGAAAGUCACGGCUAACUACGUGCCAGCAGCCGCGGUAAUACGUAGGUGGCAAGCGUUAUCCGGAUUUAUUGGGCGUAAAGCGAGCGCAGGCGGUUGCUUAGGUCUGAUGUGAAAGCCUUCGGCUUAACCGAAGAAGUGCAUCGGAAACCGGGCAACUUGAGUGCAGAAGAGGACAGUGGAACUCCAUGUGUAGCGGUGGAAUGCGUAGAUAUAUGGAAGAACACCAGUGGCGAAGGCGGCUGUCUGGUCUGCAACUGACGCUGAGGCUCGAAAGCAUGGGUAGCGAACAGGAUUAGAUACCCUGGUAGUCCAUGCCGUAAACGAUGAGUGCUAGGUGUUGGAGGGUUUCCGCCCUUCAGUGCCGGAGCUAACGCAUUAAGCACUCCGCCUGGGGAGUACGACCGCAAGGUUGAAACUCAAAGGAAUUGACGGGGGCCCGCACAAGCGGUGGAGCAUGUGGUUUAAUUCGAAGCUACGCGAAGAACCUUACCAGGUCUUGACAUCUUACGCUAACCUUAGAGAUAAGGCGUUCCCUUCGGGGACGCAAUGACAGGUGGUGCAUGGUCGUCGUCAGCUCGUGUCGUGAGAUGUUGGGUUAAGUCCCGCAACGAGCGCAACCCUUGUUACUAGUUGCCAGCAUUAAGUUGGGCACUCUAGUGAGACUGCCGGUGACAAACCGGAGGAAGGUGGGGACGACGUCAGAUCAUCAUGCCCCUUAUGACCUGGGCUACACACGUGCUACAAUGGACGGUACAACGAGUCGCAAACUCGCGAGAGUAAGCUAAUCUCUUAAAGCCGUUCUCAGUUCGGACUGUAGGCUGCAACUCGCCUACACGAAGUCGGAAUCGCUAGUAAUCGCGGAUCAGCAUGCCGCGGUGAAUACGUUGCCCGGGCCUUGUACACACCGCCCGUCACACCAUGGGAGUUUGUAACGCCCAAAGUCGGUGGCCUAACCUUUAUGGAGGGAGCCGCCUAAGGCGGGACAGAUGACUGGGGUG